CUUGGUGGUUAUAGAAGAGAUGAAACACCUGAUCCCAUUCCGAACUCAGAGGUGAAAAGCUCUAUCGCCGAUGGUAUUAUGUCUUAAGGCAUGAGAGAGUAGGAUGUUGCCAAGC
rnacentral:rRNA from 1 species